GGAAACAGAUGCUAAUACCGGAUAAAAGCUACUUUCGCAUGAAAGAAGUUUAAAAGGCGGCGUAAGCUGUCGCNUAAAAGGAUGGACCUGCGAUGCAUUAGCUAGUUGGUAAGGUAACGGCUUACCAAGGCGAUGAUGCAUAGCCGAGUUGAGAGACUGAUCGGCCACAUUGGGACUGAGACACGGCCCAAACUCCUACGGGAGGCAGCAGGG
rnacentral:rRNA from 1 species